rnacentral:rRNA from 1 species
GGGUACCGCUAUCGGACUUCGAUUAAGCCAUGCAUGUCAGCGACUAGACUUCUGGUCGCGGCGAAGGGCUGAGUAACACGUAGUCAAUCUGCUCUGGGGACGGGAAUAACCUCGGGAAACUGAGGAUAAUGCCCGAUAGAUGAUAGAUCCUGGAAUGCCCUAUCAUCCAAUUAGGUGGUGAAUUGGAGCCACACUGCCCUAGAAUGAGACUGCGGCGGAUUAGGUAGUUGGUAAGGUAACGGCCUACCAAGCCGAUAAUCCGUAGGGGCCAUGGGAGUGGUGGCCCCCAGAAGGACACUGAGACAAGGGUCCUAGCCCUACGGGGUGCAGCAGGCGCGAAACCUCUACAAUACACGAAAGUGUGAUAGGGGGAGUCCGAGUGGCAACAGCUAUGCUGUUGUCUUUUGCCGAGUGUAAAUGGCUCGGAGAAUAAGGGUGUGGGCAAACAUCCUUAAUGGCAUUUUGACAGUCAUGGGGAAUGGCCUAUGACUGGUGGCAGCCGCCGCGGUAACACCAGCGCCCCGAGUAGUACCCACGAAUAUUGGGCCUAGAGCGUCCGUAGCCGGUUUAGUUAGUCUUCUGUGAAAUGUUGGGGCUUAACCCUAACGCGUGCAGGAGAUACUGCUGAACUCGGGAGCGGGGGAGGGCAGGAGUACACCUGGGGUAGGGGUAAAAUCCGUUGAUCCUAGGUGGACUACCAGUGGCGUAGGCGCCUGUCCAAAACGCGUCCGACGGUGAGGGACGAAAGCUGGGGGAGCGAACGGGAUUAGAUACCCCGGUAGUCCCAGCUGUAAAUCAUGCAGACUGUGGUGUUACAUAUGAGUAAUCAUAUGUAGUGCUGUAGCGUAGGUGUUAAGUCUGCCGCCUGGGGAGUACGGUCGCAAGACUUAAACUUAAAGGAAUUGGCGGGGGAGCACCACAAGCCGUGGAUGCUACGGUUC